rnacentral:rRNA from 1 species
GUGGGGAAUUUUGCGCAAUGGGGGAAACCCUGACGCAGCGACGCCGCGUGAAGGACGAAGGCCUUCGGGUUGUAAACUUCUUUUAUAAGGGAAGAUAGUGACGGUACCUUAUGAAUAAGCCACGGCUAACUCUGUGCCAGCAGCCGCGGUAAGACAGAGGUGGCAAGCGUUGUUCGGAUUUACUGGGCUUAAAGGGCGCGUAGGCGGUGGUGUAAGUCUGAUGUGGAAGCCCACGGCUCAACCGUGGAAUUGCAUCGGAAACUGCAUCACUUGAGUCAGCGAGGGGAGGGCGGAAUUCCUGGUGUAGCAGUGAAAUGCGUAGAUAUCAGGAGGAAGGCCGGCGGCGAAGGCGGCCCUCUGGCGCUUGACUGACGCUGAGGCGCGAAAGCGUGGGGAGCAAACAGGAUUAGAUACCCGGGUAGUCC